UACGUAGGGUGCGAGCGUUGUCCGGAAUUACUGGGCGUAAAGAGCUCGUAGGUGGUUUGUCGCGUUGUUCGUGAAAACCGGAGGCUCAACCUCUGGCGUGCGGGCGAUACGGGCAGACUUGAGUACUGCAGGGGAGACUGGAAUUCCUGGUGUAGCGGUGGAAUGCGUAGAGAUCCGGAAGAACACCGGUGGCGAAGGCGGCCUGCUGGGCAGUAGCUGACACUGAGGCGCGACAGCGUGGGGGAGCAAACAGG
rnacentral:rRNA from 1 species